CUCGCUCCGUGCAGAUUGAGAGAGCAAAAUCUCUCUUCCUCUCCUCCCCUUCCAGAUCGCCGCUGCCGCGUCCUGGAUCUCUCCAUCACCUCCACCUGCUAUCCCCUCCGCCACCCGAGCUCGCACGGCCUCCGACCCUGCUGCGCUUCCGGUUGGCCCUCUUCCCGAUGGUGACGAGCCUCCCUCGCCCCGGCUCCCUGCUCCGCCCCAAGCGGUCGGCGCGUUGCCAUGACCGCGGUUGGCCCUCUUCCCGAUGGCGACGAGACUCCCUCGCCCCGGCUCCUUGCUCCUCCCCAUCCCAAUUCGUACCCCUGACCUAGCACGCCGCCUACUAGCUCUUGGUCAAAGGUGAUAUUUUUAUAGUUGCGAUGGUUGAUCUAUGGGCAAUUCAGCUCGAUCCGUGCCGCUGGAGAAGUGGUAAGAGGAUGGCGGUGUAGGACCAGAGCAGCAGGAAGAGGAUGGUGGUGCUGGGCUAGAGCAGAAUGUGUGGAGCACCGGAGCAGAAGGAGGAGUGGCGGAAUAGAGAGAAGGAGCACCAAGAACAGAAGAGCAGCAACAGAGGGGUUCAGAGCAAGGGAAAGGAGCGAGAGCAGAAAGCAGAGGCACACACCACGCGUGCGCCUGGAGCACCGGAGAAGCGUCACCGUCGCCGUCCUUUCCGUGCCGUGCGUCGAGUAUGUACUCUUCCUUUCUUGCUUUGUGUACAAAUGGUGCACUGUCCUGCUCGUUGAGUAUGUACUCCUUGCUUGCUUGUGUACAAAUUGUGCACUGCCCUGCUCCUUGCUUGCAAACACUUGUCAUGAUAUUUUGAGUAUCAAGGUGUUUUGUAGAGAAAUAAUCACAUUACUGUCUUUAAAUGGUGCACUGUGUAGGAGAUAAAUAAUCUAGCAUCAAAAUUGAGAAAUACUCCUGGUACUCAUGUAGGCGCUGCAUGAUUUCUUUUUUACUGGUAGGUUCUUCCUUUUCCUGAAUUUAGCUGAUUACUUGCUUGCAAGUUCUUGUUUUGCUGAAUUCUUGCUUGUUUGAUUGUAGUAGAAGUAGCAAGUUGCUCUCGCUUUAACUUGCAGCAGGAAGGCUUGCUUUAACUGAAUUUGGACUUGGUGCACUAGCUUGGCAAUUUUGCUUGUUGUAUUUGAUUUGUAGGAGGAGGUGGGGGAGCAGACCAUGCCAUGGAGAGGACCACUCCUAGGAGGACAUGACCCUUGAUUAGUACGGGAAAUGCAUGAGUUGUCAGCCAUAAAGAAGUUCAAUUCUUCAAGCAAGAACUCCAGACUUGGCUCUGCCCUGCCUCCGGUGCUCCCUGGCAGCCGGCCCUACCUCUCCACCCAGGUACAGAUCACCACUCCCCUCUUCUCUCUGGUAGGAAUCGAUCGAAUGUGGGGAUAAAUGGCGGGAUAUCCUAUGAAUCUGCUUAUGUUUGUGCAUCCCUUCAUCAUCCUCCGUCCAAUUAAAAUCUAGUGCCUGUUGUGCUUCUGCACUAACUUUGCAGAAAAGCGCCCACCUCCUUCCUUGCCAGCCGCAUCAAUUUUCCAAACACCCCCUCAACAUGCCAAGGCAGGUCCACCACGUCCCGGAGUUCCCCAAAUCGCUUUGUCCUUCCAUCUCCGUUGCUAGCGGCCUCCACGGUGACAGCGCCACGACCGAAUACGCAUCUACAGGGACCAUUGCCAUGACGGGGCAGGAUUCUCGUUAUUACUUCGCAAUCAUUUUUCAAUCAGGCAUUCACCAAAAGAAAGUAAAACACUCUUUUCUCGAGAGGAAACGAGAACUUUCAUUCAAUCAUAGCAAACGAGUUUACAUUGUCAUUUUUAGUCACAGGAUCAAUAAACUUGGGUGCAGGCACAUCCAAGAUUAAUUUCUCCCAUGAGUUGUAGCGGACUGGAGGUCGCCGUUGCAGUCUAAACUAGGUGGUCGCCUACCGCUACCUCCAUCAGGUCGUCGACGCCGGGAUGCAGCCGCCGCACGCUACCGACGUGGCGGCCAUCGACAUGGAUCUCCGUCCGAGGGUGCCGUCCUGACGGCCACCAAUGCCUUUCACUAGGACUCGUCGUAGGUUGUCCUGCUCUGUCGUGGCAAUCGUCCCUUUAGAUGCGUAUUCUGUUUUGAGCCAAUGGAUUUUUAGUGGUACUAUAUUCUAUUUUGACAAAGCUAAAGGAAGCAUACUAAUCCUAGAAGAACAAUAUGGCUCAUCACAACUUGGCAUUCUUGCAUAAGUGUAAAAGAUCAUAACAGUAUGCAUGUGCACUUAUCAUGCAGUUGAUGCAAACUGUUAGGUAAACAAAUAAAGCACUCCAUUUUUUCUGCAAAUGGGAAAAUAAUUAUAUCCAUUUGAGCUCAAGGGCUCUGGAUUUUUCACUUACAUGCUUGACUGGUUUUUGUUGUCACUAUCUAAUGUUGAAUGAGAUAAAUAAAAACAUUGCUGCCUUACUUACAUAUUGACUUGCUUUCUUGCUUUGUGCCACAAUGUUUCAGUGCAACCUACUGAGUUAUAUUUGACUUGCUGCUAGUAGUAAGUCAGAGUAUUUGUAUUAUUCAGUACAAGUAUUCAGUGUGAAGAAAUUCUACUCAGUGUUGGUCUACUACUAUGGUUUGCUGGUAAUUAAAGAUCUAUCUAGGUACUUUCUGCAUGGGUCAUGCAUGCUGUGUACUUUCUUUGUUAGUAUUACCAAAUGCCAUUAUUCAUAACAGCCCCCUUGUAGGCAACUUACGCCUUUUUUGUCUAGCUCUUUGGUGCAGUUUUAUGUUUUUUAACUGCUUGAAAUAACAUGGUUUAGCUUGUCUUUCGUGUGGUUAAUUACAUUUAUCUCGGAGAAUAAGGUCCAUGGAAAAAACCGGGGGUUGACAACAUCUUGGGUCUCUAUAUUCGUUUUCAUUCAUGUUGAGUCAAAUCUGAGAGUUCUUGCAAGGGACACAGUUUCCAGCAUUUUAUUUACCUUUCCUUCUUCCCCUCAAUUAUGUAUUUAUGUGGAAUCUUUUCUAUGUUAAGAUGUAGCAUAUUUAGAUUGCAUAUGACUCAGUUAGUAUUUUUUAUUGCACAGAAAUCCGCUGACACCUCCUCUCUGCUUCCUUGGCUACAACAUCGCCGCUCGUCCUGUGCCUGGGCCGCAUGAUAGCUGCCAGCCGGAGGGUUGCAGACUUCUUCGACACACAGAGUGGUCGACUGGCUUCGCCAAGGUACGUUCAUGUGCGCUGGCGCAGGCCGAGCUUGCAUGGAAUGACGACCCGGCGCACGCCCUGUAUUGAUCAGCUUGGCGUACUGGUAGUUUCAUGUUUAUCCAUUAUCCUUUGUGUGAAUCUCAAAGGAUAUUUGUAUUCUACUGAAAAAUAGUCAGGUGUUAAGCUUUGAAACUUUGAAACUUUGAGAGGGGUGUUUAUAGUUACCUAAUCGGAAAUUUGCAACGGUAGCCUGCUAGAUCACUUGUUGAAAUAGUUUUGUGCAAUCUAAAUUUUGAGAGGGGUGUCUAUAUUUUGGUUAAUCAUCAUUUUCUAUGUUUAGUUCAUACAAGUCUAUUGUGGUGUAUACAAGAUUUUUUUAGUUGUCUAUACGUAUCUUUUUUACUUUGGAAUAAGAAGGCGCGUUUUUUUCUAAGACGUAGCUGUUAAGGAUUCCAUUUUUCUGGAAGGGGCUAUUAGGGACGACUCCUUACUUUAGUUGACUCCUUUUAUAUUUUUGACAUGAGAUUUUAAUAUUUUAUUUAAAAUAUGUGAUGACAACUUAUAUUUUUAUGCGAGUUUAGUCCUUUGCUUAAAUGGUGAUUCUUUUUGGAAACAUGGUGAUUCCUUUUUUUGCAACGUGGUGAUUCUUUUAAUUAGGAAGUGUUCUCUUUGUUUGUGAUGGUAGGUUUAAUCUCUUGCGUGUGUAUCAUAUUUCUUUAAUAAUAAGACAUGUACUUCUAGUUUAGCAAUAGGGAGACCAAAGGGAGCACGUUUGUGACAGUAGGUUUAAUCUCUUGCGUAUGUGAUUUUUUUCUUUUCUUUUACGACGUGGUGAUUAUAGUCUAACGAAAGGGAUACCAAAGGGAACACGUCUCCUGUAGAUUCUUUUUUCUUUGCACAAGCGUAGAAGGAAACACCAAUGGGGUAGACAUCUCCUAAUUUAUCCUAUGGCUACAAAACAAUUACAUAUUAGUUUUACGGUUGGAAUUUUUUUACUUUCUAGGUUUAACGUGGAGUCGGCAUCAUUUUCUUCUUGCAGGCGGCAAUGGCAAGAGAAUAUUGUGCACAUGAAGAGGAUGAGAAGAAACUUGUGGUUCUCAUCCAAUCUUUGUGGAACUCUCUUUAUGUGCGAUUGUGCACUUGUUGGGUUCUUUUUCUAUGUACUUGCACUUGCAGAAGUAUUCUCUUGUGCUAUUGUUAGGCGUUGAACCUUAAUGCGUGGAGUCGUUGGAUGAUGUAUUGUAGUUGAUUUGAUAUGCUAUUGAAAUGAAAUAUACAUUUUAUU
rnacentral:lncRNA from 1 species